rnacentral:SRP_RNA from 1 species
GUUGAAUGUUGUGGUUCACACUUCUAACCUCUGCUAUGGGGGGAUUGAGGCUGAAUGAUGACCAUUUGGGAGUUCUGAGCUGCUCUAGGCUGACCCAAUAAGGUGUCUGCACAAAGUCCAGCACUAAUAUGGUAAACUCUUAGGAGAAGGAGGCUAUGAGGCAGCUCAAGGAGGUGUGAACAGGCCCAGGUUGGAAAUGGAGCAGGUCAAAGCUCUGGUGCUGAUCAGCUGUAGAUUUAGACUCUGAGUGGCCAUUAUAAUUCCUGCCUGGAUGGCAAAGGGAGACCUGGUCUCA